GGAAGAUGUUUGUCUCUAGAGCAACACCAAGAACCCAACUAAAUCUGU
rnacentral:misc_RNA from 1 species